rnacentral:rRNA from 1 species
GACGAACGCUGGCGGCGUGCCUAAUACAUGCAAGUAGAACGCACAGUUUAUACCGUAGCUUGCUACACCAUAGACUGUGAGUUGCGAACGGGUGAGUAACGCGUAGGUAACCUGCCUGGUAGCGGGGGAUAACUAUUGGAAACGAUAGCUAAUACCGCAUAAUAUUGAUUAUUGCAUGAUAAUUAAUUGAAAGGUGCAAUUGCACCACUACCAGAUGGACCUGCGUUGUAUUAGCUAGUAGGUGAGGUAACGGCUCACCUAGGCGACGAUACAUAGCCGACCUGAGAGGGUGAUCGGCCACACUGGGACUGAGACACGGCCCAGACUCCUACGGGAGGCAGCAGGAGGGAAUCUUCGGCAAUGGACGGAAGGCUGACCGAGCAACGCCGCGGGAGUGAAGAAGGUUUUCGGAUCGGAAAGCUCUGUUGUAAGAGAAGAACGGGUGUGAGAGUGGAAAGUUCACACUGUGACGGUAUCUUACCAGAAAGGGACGGCUAACUACGUG